UCCCUGGUGGUCCAGAGGUUAAGACUUCACACUCCCAAUGCAGGGGCCCGGGUUCGACUCCUGGUCAGGGAA
rnacentral:tRNA from 1 species